AAAAAAAAGAAGAAGAAGACGAGAAAAGGAAAAAAAGAAAGGAUGAUGCGGCUAACCAAAUGCCAGCACAAAUGGCAAAAGGAUAGAAUAUGAAAUAUGGUUGAUGCUGCGCCACUGUCCACCCACAAGAUGCGUCCAUAGAAUUAUUGCGUACCUACCUGCGCGCGUUCAUCUUGCGUGUCCGCGUAUAUUAAGUCUUGAGUGUGCGAAAGAAGAAGGAAGGCGUGUACGUGCAAGGAUGGACGACGACUUUGUUGGACUCUCGUGCGGCCCACGCACGAGACUCGGAUUAUAGAAAUGUUCUCGGAUGGGUUACACUUGAUUCCCAAGUCGACCGUAAUUCCGAGCGUUCUUUCCAACCCAACGGAACACGUUUUCUCUUAGCUUCGCUAAAGAUUUCCACGAGAUCGAUCGACACGAUCGCGCAACAGCAAUGGCAAUGGCAACGGUAACAACAACAGCAGCAACAAUAUGUUCCUUUCGACAAAACUAAUACAAAUUUUAUUACGUUGUUUUCAACUCGCUUAAUUUCUCUUCUUCUUAUUUUUUCAUUAUUUUUAUUUCUUUUCCUUUUUCUUUAAUUUUUUCUUUUUUUUUUCUUUUUUCUUUUUGUUUCCUCUCUUCUUCUUCUUCUUCUUCUUCUUCUUCUCUUUUUUUUUUUUCAUUUGAUCUAUCUAAAAUCGAGAACUUUUUUCUCUUUAUCUAGGAUAAGUUUUUUUUCGUUCAAUAGACAUUGCCAUUAUCAACGUGUAAAUUUUUAAUAAUGAGAGAGUAGUAUAUUUUGCUUAAAAAAAAAAAAAAAAAAAAAAAAAAAGGAAAACAAGAAAAGGAAGUUCUUAAGAAAAAAUUAUCAAGAUAUUACUAACAUUUAAGAUACUUUAUAUUAUAUUAUUUAUUUGGUAUAUAUUUUUACGUAAGUUAAUUGUAUAUGCUUUAAUAUGUUAACACGUUAAUUAAUAAAUUCAAAUAAGGUAAUAUCAUAUGAAAUAGAAUAAGAACAUAUAAUUGGAUCAAUUUUUUAUUGUUUCUUUCAUUUGAUUUAUACAUUGUUUGUGUAUAUUCAACGAUAAAAAAAAAAAAAAAAAAGAAAAAGAAAAAAAAGCAAAUGUACGAUCGAUGAACGCAAACACAUUUAACUCUUGACAUAAUAAAUAGUUCGGAAAAAAAAAAAAAAAAAAAAAAAAACUGAAACAGGUGUUCAAUAGAUCGCGACGACGAACAAUAAUGAUUUUUUAAUCGUUCGUUAAUUCUAAU